GCCGUGGCCUACUGGUUAAGGUUUCGGGCUUGUAACCGGGUUGCCGGUUGCCGGUUCGAUCCCCUGAGCAGUCCACGGCUGA